GACGAACGCUGGCGGCGUGCUUAACACAUGCAAGUCGAACGGAAAGGCCCUGCUCUUGUGGGGUGCUCGAGUGGCGAACGGGUGAGUAACACGUGAGUACCCUACCCUUGACUUUGGGAUAACUUCAGGAAACUCGGGCUAAUACCGGAUAGGAUCGCCUGAUGCAAGGUGGGGGUUGGACAGUUUGGGCGGUUGGGGAUGGACUCGCGGCAUAUCAGCUUGUUGGUGGGGGAGUGGCUUACCAAGGCUUUGACGGGUAGCCGGCCUGAGAGGGUGACCGGCCACAUUGGGACUGAGAUACGGCCCAGACUCCUACGGGAGGCAGCAGUGGGGAAUAUUGCACAAUGGGCGGAAGCCUGAUGCAGCAACGCCGCGUGCGGGAUGACGGCCUUCGGGAUGUAAACCGCUUUCGCCUGUGACGAAGCGUGAGUGACGGUAAUGGGUAAAGAAGCACCGGCUAACUACGUG
rnacentral:rRNA from 1 species